UACAGGGGGUGCAAACGUUGCUCGGAAUCAUUGGGCGUAAAGCGCACGUAGGCGGUUACUUAAGUCGGAUGUGAAAGCCCUUGGCUCAACUGAGGAAGUGCAUCCGAAACUGAGUAGCUAGAGUACGAAAGAGGGUCGCGGAAUUCCCGGUGUAGAGGUGAAAUUCGUAGAUAUCGGGAGGAACACCGGUGGCGAAGGCGGCGACCUGGGUCGAGACUGACGCUGAGGAGCGAAAGCCAGGGGAGCAAACGGG
rnacentral:rRNA from 1 species